rnacentral:rRNA from 1 species
AGGACGAACGCUAGCGGCGUGUUUGAAACAUGCAAGUCGAACGGUAAGAGGUAGCAAUACUUCGAGAGUGGCGAACGGGUGCGUAACACGUAAAGAACCUAUCCUUUAGCGGGGGAUAGCCCUUAGAAAUGAGGGGUAAUACCGCAUAAGGUAUCCUUGACGCAUGUUAGGGAUAGGAAAGGGUUACGAAAGUAACUCACUAGAGGAGGGCUUUGCGGCCUAUCAGGUAGUUGGUGGGGUAAAGGCCUACCAAGCCAAAGACGGGUAGC